GCGGCGUUAACUCAGCUGGAUAGAGUACCCGGCUUCUACCCGGGCUGUCGGGGGUUCGAAUCCCUCACGCCGCG
rnacentral:tRNA from 1 species